UGAGUACGAGAUGCUACGGCGUCGAAGCAGUCUAGGUCAUACUUCCAAGAAAAGCUUGCACUGUCAUAAACAAAGAAUGCCUGUACCAUAACCGACACAGGUGGGUAGGUAGAGUAUACUAAGGGGCGCGAGAUAACUCUCUCUAAGGAACUCGGCAAAAUGACUCCGUAACUUCGGGAGAAGGAGUGCCUUAUUUUUAAGGUUGCAAUAACAAGAUCCAACUGUUUACCAAAAACACAGGUCUCCGCUAAGUCGUAAGACGAUGUAUGGGGGCUGACGCCUGCCCAGUGCCAGAAGGUUAAAGAAGUUGGUUAGCAUUUGCGAAGCUGAUAACUGAAGCCCUGGUGAACGGCGGCCGUAACUAUAACGGUCCUAAGGUAGCGAAAUUCCUUGUCGGGUAAGUUCCGACCCGCACGAAAGGCGUAAUGAUUUGGAUACUGUCUCGGAGAGGGGCUCGGUGAAAUAGACUUGUCUGUGAAGAUGCGGACUACCUGCACCUGGACAGAAAGACCCUAUGAAGCUUUACUGUAACUUGAGAUUGAAAUUGGACUUUAUUUGCGCAGUAUAGGUGGGAGGCGUUGAGAAUAAUCUUGCGGGAUUAUCGGAGCCAUCAGUGAGAUACCACUCUUGUAAUGUUAGAUUUCUAACUUUGUAUCAUUAUCUGGUCAAAGAACAGUUUCAGGCGGGCAGUUUGACUGGGGCGGUCGCCUCCCAAAGGGUAACGGAGGCGCACAAAGGUUUCCUCUGAACGGGUAGAAAUCGUAUCUAGAGUGUAAAGGCAUAAGGAAGCUUGACUGUGAGACCUACAAGUCGAGCAGGGACGAAAGUCGGUCUUAGUGAUCUGACGGUGCUGAGUGGAAAGGCCGUCACUCAACGGAUAAAAGUUACUCUAAGGAUAACAGGCUGAUCUCCCCCAAGAGUUCACAUCGACGGGGAGGUUUGGCACCUCGAUGUCGGCUCAUCGCAUCCUGGGGCGGUAGUACGUCCCAAGGGUUGGGCUGUUCGCCCAUGAAAGCGGUACGCGAGCUGGGUUCAGAACGUCGUGAGACAGUUCGGUCCAUAUCCGGUGUAGGCGUUAGAAUAUUGAAAGGAGCCUUCUCUAGUACGAGAGGACCGAGAAGGACAUACCUCUGGUGUGCCAGUUAUCGUGCCAACGGUAAACGCUGGGUAGCUAUGUAUGGAGUGGAUAACCGCUGAAAGCAUCUAAGUGGGAAGCCCACCUUAAGAUAAGUAUUCUCAUG
rnacentral:rRNA from 1 species